UACGGGGGGGGCAAGCGUUGUUCGGAAUUACUGGGCGUAAAGGGUUCGUAGGUGGCCAACUAAGUCAUACGUGAAAUCCCUCAGCUUAACUGGGGAACUGCGUCUGAUACUGGAUAGCUUGAGUGCAGGAGAGGAACGCGGAAUUCCAGGUGUAGCGGUGAAAUGCGUAGAUAUCUGGAGGAACACCGGUGGCGAAGGCGGCGUUCUGGACUGCAACUGACACUGAGGAACGAAAGCCAGGGGAGCAAACGGG
rnacentral:rRNA from 1 species